rnacentral:rRNA from 1 species
UACGAAGGGGGCAAGCGUUGUUCGGAAUUACUGGGCGUAAAGCGUGCGUAGACGGUUAUGUAAGUCGGGUGUGAAAGCCCCGGGCUCAACCUGGGAAUGCCAUUCGAGACUGCAUAGCUAGGGUGCGGAAGAGGGAAGCGGAAUUUCCGGUGUAGCGGUGAAAUGCGUAGAUAUCGGAAGGAACACCAGUGGCGAAAGCGGCUUCCUGGUCCAGCACCGACGUUCAGGCACGAAAGCGUGGGGAGCAAACAGG